rnacentral:lncRNA from 1 species
AGUACUUUUUGUUUUGGUAUCAUGACUUUUUGUGAUGGGAAGUCGGAAAUAAUUCUUCUUUUUGGAAUAGUGCAGUUAGGUAGAAGAUCGAAUUCAUUUCAAAAUCUUGGUUUCUUAAGUGAUCUAGAUCAAUCUGUAGUCAAGAUUCAAAACUUUCAAAUGUGUGAUGAUAAUUUAGUUAAUGCAACUAGCUAGUGUAUGUGUGUGAAUGAGUGGUCCUAUUUGUUAGCUCGUGCUUUGAAAUCUACACCGACUCCGACCACACAGCAAAGACCAGAUUAAAUUAAGGGACGUGUAGCGUAUAAUGAGGUUCCAAACUUGAUAGACCACUUCAAGUGUG